GACGAACGCUGGCGGCGUGCUUAACACAUGCAAGUCGUACGGUAAGGCCCUUUCGGGGGUACACGCGUGGCGAACGGGUGAGUAACACGUGAGUAACCUGCCCACAACUUUGGGAUAACGCUAGGAAACUGGUGCUAAUACUGGAUAUGUGCUCCUGCUGCAUGGUGGGGGUUGGAAAGCUCCGGCGGUUGUGGAUGGACUCGCGGCCUAUCAGCUUGUUGGUGGGGUAGUGGCCUACCAAGGCGGCGACGGGUAGCCGGCCUGAGAGGGUGACCGGCCACAUUGGGACUGAGAUACGGCCCAGACUCCUACGGGAGGCAGCAGUGGGGAAGAUUGCACAAUGGGCGCAAGCCUGAUGCAGCAACGCCGCGUGCGGGAUGACGGCCUUCGGGUUGUAAACCGCUUUCAGCAGGGACGAAGCUUUUUGUGACGGUACCUGCAGAAGAAGCACCGGCUAACUACGUG
rnacentral:rRNA from 1 species